rnacentral:rRNA from 1 species
CCGUUACCGUGAGGAGCGGCCUAGGGUGAAAGCGGUGACUGGGGCUAAGUCGUAACAAGGUAGCCGUACCGGAAGGUGCGGCUGGAACACCUCCUUUUUGGAGC